rnacentral:rRNA from 1 species
AACGAACGCUGGCGGCGUGUCUUAAGCAUGCAAGUCGAGCGGCAAGGGCAGCAAUGCCCCUAGAGCGGCGGACUGGUGAGUAACGCGUGGAUGAUCUGCCCUUGGGUUGGGGAUAGCCAUUAGAAAUAGUGGGUAAUACCGAAUACGUUCGCAUGGUUACGGUCAUGCGAGGAAAGGCGCUACGGCGCCGCCUUUGGAUGAGUCCGCGUCAGAUUAGCUAGUUGGUGGGGUAAGAGCCUACCAAGGCGAUGAUCUGUAGCCGGCCUGAGAGGGUGUACGGCCACACUGGGGACUGAGAUACGGCCCAGACUCCUACGGGAGGCAG